ACAUACAGUUUGUCUUCGUUAUGGUACCGUAUACAGUUUUGGGUGUUUAUAUUUAAUUUUUUUUACGAACGCUUUAAGUGCAGUUAAUUAUUUGGCAUGCUGUACGUGCAAAUAGACGACUGCUUGAAGCCGUGGGCUGCGUCCCAAACCGCGUACUUACCGUCUAUAUAGUAGCCGAGAUACAUGUAUUUUUCCCCACUACCGGCCUAUAGUAGGUAAGUAAGCGGUUUGGGACGCAGCCGAACUCUCUUGUUCGCUGUAAAAUGUUGAAAACUGCCGUGUGUGAUCGUGUCCUGUCGCAAAAUGCGGUGAAAACUCUCACACGACGUUCAUAAUGUGAUUAAGGUGUUUACAUGUCUGUAAUACACGUCCAUAAUGCGACUAAAACAGGAGUACUCCACCUGUCUUAAUUCGAUUAGAGCUUAAUUCAAGGAUGACCUUAAUUAGAUGAAGGUAAGUAAAAAUUUCUGUUUACAUGGUAGUUUCUUAAUCAAAGUAUGGUCUUAAUCGGGUUAAGAGUGGAUUAUUGUUGUCCAUGUAAACGCAGCUACUGACUGACGGUGAGACGAAGCUUCAUGGAAGCUUCAUGAAAGCUUCACUGAAAUUCAUAAAAGAAAUAAACAGCAACUUAUAUUAGUUAUUUAUUUAAGUUGUUAUAUAUCCAUCCAUCCAUCCAUCUUCUAUACAGCUUUAUCCUUUUCAGGGUCACGGGGAAACCUGGAGCCUAUCCCAGGGAGCAUCGGGUACAAGGCGGGGUACACCCUGGACAGGGUGCCAAUCCAUCGCAGGGCACAAUCACAUACACACUCACAUACCCAUUCAUACACUACGGACACUUUAGACAUGCCAAUCAGCCUACCAUGCAUGUCUUUGGACUGGGGGAGGAAACCAGAGUACAUGGAGGAAACCCCUGCAGCACGGGGAGAACAUGCAAACUCUGCACACACAGGGCCACGGAACAUUUCUACGAUCCAGACUAGGGAACAGGUUUCAGCUCCUGCCUUAAAACUUUGUCAAGGAAGAAAAAGUGCCACUUGGGGCUGACUGAGGCACAGUACCUCGGGUACCAUAUCGGCCGGUGCCUACUAAAGCCCCAGAUGAAGAAAAUUGAGGCAGUAAGAGACUAUCCCCGGCCUGCAUAAAAAAAAACAGCUUCCUCCCUCUCAGAUCUCACGAAAAAGGGCCAGCCAGACCGGGUGAAGUGGUCGGCAGAAGCGGAACGGGCCUUCCAAGCCCUGAAAGAAGCCCUCACCAGUGCCCCAGUGCUACGCCCAGACUUCGCCCUUCCAUUCACCGUGCACACAGAUGCAUCCCAAACCGGGCUGGGCGCAGUUCUCUCACAGACCUUCGGUGGAGAGGAACACCUGGUCCUCUACAUCAGUCGGAAGUUGUCCCCAGCUGAGGGGAAGUAUGCAGCAGUGGAAAGAUAGGCCCUGGUGAUAAAGUGGGCCAUCGAAGAGCUACGACACUACCUGGCCGGUCGGCACUUCGUCCUGGUGACAGACCACGCCCCACUACAGUGGAUGGCCAAGGCCAAGGAGACUAACGCCAGGGUAACCCGAUGGUUACAGGAGUUCUCUUUCCAGGUCCAGCACCGGGAGGGGACCCACCAUGGGAAUGCAGAUGGCCUCUCGCGACGGGAUGCACUGUGGGCCCGACACGCGACGGCAGUAGGCUCAGAGCUGAGGGGGGGUACUGUCGUGACGGACUGACAGCUGGAGCACAAGAGACAAAGAUCGCUCCUCCCGUGACUGCCGCAGUGGUGCUGAAGAGACAGCUCCACUUCAGCACCACCAAUGUUUUGGACAGCCGGAGAGCACGUGGCGGUGGCUCGGGGCCGCCAACACACAUGGCCGGUGAAUGGCGCACGGCAUGGGAGAAUUCCACCAUCCAGCAGGCGAGGGGAGAGUAUAAAAGGGCGCUAAUCCGCUCGCAAAGGGAGAGAACACUCUCUGGGUGUAUGCGCUAACCUAUGCUGUAUGUUUUCCAGGCAAUCCAGAUGCAAGCAAAGACUCUGCCCCCUGACUGCAUCUGCUGAUGUUCCUGACAGUAAAACGGGAUCCCCAUUACUUGGGAAACCCCUAGCACGCCCUCGGCAACCCCGCGGCAAAUAAGCCUUUCUCCUCACACCCCCACGCCGACACGCACGCACACACGCGUACCCACACCCUCUCAAGAACUAUUUUUGAAUAACGAAUUCUCCACGAGUGACACCAAAACAGCCUCCUGUGUGUCUGUGCUCCGUCCCCCUGCUGGCUAGAUUCCCUACAGUACCCAUUCUCGGUACACUGAAAUCCAUAUUCAAAAACAGUCAAGUAUGAGAGAGCUUUUUACAGGACAAACAGAGUGGAAUUGGAGUUUACAAAGACAUUAAUGAUGGGUCGUAUUUCCAAAACCAUGCACUGUUCUCGCCGCAAAAGCACGUUUUACAGAUUCUACUCUAUUACGACGAUUUUGAAACUGCUAACCCUCUAGGUUCCAAGAGGGGGAUCCACAGACUUGGUUGUAUCUAUUUUAUAUAUAUAUAUAUAUGUUACCCUUUGUAAUUAUGGUAAAUGGUCUGCACUUAUAUAGCGCUUUUAUCCAAAGCACUUUACACUGUUUCAUUCGCCCACACACACACCAAUGGUAGCAGAGCUGCCAUGCAAGGCGCAAAUUGGGAGCAACUUGGGGUUCAAUGUCUUGCCCAAGGACACUUCUGUAUGCGGAGUCAUGUGGGCCAGGAAUCGAACCACCAACCCUAUGAUUGGUGGACAACCCGCUGUAACACCUGAGCCACAGCCACCUGAGCCACAGCCGCCCUAAUUAUUGAAAUUAUAAUUUCAAAUGAAAAUAAUUUCAAAUGAUCUCCACCUCAUACGAUUUUACCUAUUGUUUCUAAUGCUUCCACUAGGAGACUGUCUGGGUUGCCAUUAUGAGCUACCUGAAAAUGUUUCGCCAUGGGGUAGUCCAUAUUCUUCAAGCACCUGUUAGUUCUACCAUGGUUGAAGCAACCACAGCUGCACGAUAGCCAAUAGACUCUGUAUUGUGUAUUACAAUUGGUUCAUGACUUUUAUAAAUGACUACUACAGCAGUGGUUGCAGGAGCCACAUAUAUAUGUAAGCCCUUUAAAGACUGGUGAAGCCAUGUAGUUUUUUUCUUACUGGAUAGGUGACUUUGUACUAGUUCACCUUUUAAGGGCAGUGCUCUUCUGAAAUUAAUUUCCCUUAAAAUAGGGGCACUUUGAAUCCAUUUCCAAUUGGAAAAAAACAAUUUGUUUUACCUGAUUAGGUAUAUGACCACAUUUGGUUACAAAAUAAACUUGAUUUCUUAAACCUGUUUUUUCCUUUUUUUUCCUGUGCAGUUUGUAGGCUUUCAGCUCUAGAAGUUAAAAAGACUCUAUCAUGAGUGCCUUGAACAACCUUUUUCUGAUAUCCUCUACAUAUAAAAUGUUCUGUUAAUACAUUGGCCUGUACUUGAAAUUCAUCUGUAUCACAAAUGCGGCAUUGGAAUUGUCUCUGUUUUCUCUUUCUCAUAGCUUUUAAUAUUACCAAGAAACCAGAAAGCACAAACUCCCGGAUCUUCCAAAACAUAAAAUGUAACUCUAAACAGUUGAAAAUUGAGAAUUGUAAGCACUGGAAAUUCGCUGUAGUAUAAAAUGAAUACUAUCUCUGACAUAAAACUACUCAAAAUAAUACAUUUUAAACUUUGUUUAUUUGUUUAUUUACAUACAUAUUAUUUUUUAAGCAGUUGCAGUAAAGGAAUCCUGAAAAUCGAAGGUCCUGCAGCACCCUCAGCACGCCUACUUCCACAUCCUUUAACUGGCCUGUUUUCAGUACACAUUUCAUUACAUGUCCAUUAUAAAGCAACAAAAUAUCGCUUUAUGGGGAAAUGUCAAGAAUAUUUAUAAUCAGUACAAUUAUUAGAGUCAAUGCUACUCUCAUCAGCUCUGAUCCAUGCAGUUAUUGCCUUUAACUGAAACAUCAACCACUUGGUUUAUCAUGGUUUUAUUUCUGAAAAUUAUUCAUUGUUAACAUUUUCAUCUUUCCUACGGGUUUAGAAAAUGGAAGUUUACUUACAUCUUUUAGCUAUACUUUUUUAAAACACAAUAUGCAGCCUGAGUUACAGUUUUGCCUCUUCCCUCACAAUGGCAUAAUGCUCUGCAACACCGCAGUGUGCCAAUGUGUGGUGCAUCUGCUUUGCCAUUGGUUAGAAAAGCUGUCUAGUUGGGAUUGAAUGGAUUUUUUUUAGUAUUCUAAAAUGUAGGUUUAUCAGCAGAAUUGGCAAUAAAAAAUGGCUAAAACAUUGAAAAUACACAUUUGA